UACGGAGGGGGCGAGCGUUAUUCGGAAUUAUUGGGCGUAAAGGGCGCGUAGGCGGCUGUACAAGUCAAAGGUGAAAUCCCUCGGCUCAACUGAGGAACUGCCUUUGAAACUGUACGACUUGAGGCCGGGAGGGGGUAGCGGAAUUCCCAGUGUAGCGGUGAAAUGCGUAGAUAUUGGGAGGAACACCAGUGGCGAAGGCGGCUACCUGGACCGGUUCUGACGCUGAGGCGCGAAAGCGUGGGUAGCAAACAGG
rnacentral:rRNA from 1 species